AUGUAGCAUCAUCUUCAGCUGUGACCUCUGUUUCUCCCGUAGUCUGGAGUGUUAGUGUCACUGGUGAACCCUCAGCCAGCCAACGGUCUGUUCUCCACCAGGAUUGACAUCCGACAGGGAGACAGCAAAGACAGCAUCAUCCGCAGACUAUCCCGCGUCAACCGAGGCAUCAAGGAUUUAUCCAAAGUGAAGCUGAUGCGUUUUGAGGACCCACUCCUCGGACCUCGGAGAAUCCCAGUUUUGGGGAAGGAAGAGGAGGGUAAGAUCCCCAUCUCAAACAGUUCAGUCUUCCACGUCAACCUGCAAGAAAACAAAGUUCAUAUGAGUGAUAACGGCCUGAAAAUGGACAUCGGGGACACUUUAAUAUACCUGGUCCAGUGAUAUCUGAGAGUUUUAGUUUUUUCCCCCUCAUAUGAUUAUCUUGACAUACAUCUGCAAACAGUAAUGAUUAUAUUGACUGCUUAAUUUAGCUGGCAUUUAGUCUCGGUGCAUCUAGUGAACUCCCCUCUCUGCAUUUGGUAAGUGUUCUGUUUAAGGGUCUGCAGUGUCUGUAUAACAUCAAUAAUAUAUUCCUAUCCAUUUUCUAGCUUUUUAAGUAGUAAAAGAGAACUGUACACCCCAUUCAUACACAUACAUGGCAUUGGAAAUAUUCAUACUUUGUGGACUCUACAUAUGACAUUUGAAGGUCUUCUUGUAUUUUCAUAAUGUUUAUACCAGUCUAUUGGUUUUAAAAUCCGUCUGCUGUUUUAAAUAGUUUGCAUACAGCUACAGAAGUCCAAUUGAGGAUGUUAUCUUUUCACUGUAAAACCUUAAAAGGAAGCUUUGUUUUCUUCCUUACUUCCCCCUGUAAAAUGAUAUGUAUUCAGUGAACACUUAAUAAAUUAAUGCAAGUGAAAUUUA